GCCCUUAGAGUUUGAUCCUGGCUCAGGAUGAACGCUAGCGGCAGGCUUAAUACAUGCAAGUCGGACGGUAACAGACCUGGCAACGGGUGCUGACGAGUGGCGCACGGGUGCGUAACACGUAUGCAACCUACCCUGUACUGGGGGAUAACCCUGAGAAAUCGGGGCUAAUACCCCAUGGAAUCAUAGAGUGGCAUCGCUAUUAUGAUUAAAGAUUCAUUGGUACGGGAUGGGCAUGCGCCCCAUUAGUUAGUUGGUGAGGUAACGGCUCUCCAAGGCGAUGAUGGGUAGGGGUUCUGAGAGGAUUAUCCCCCACACUGGUACUGAGACACGGACCAGACUCCUACGGGAGGCAGCAGUAAGGAAUAUUGGGCAAUGGAGGCAACUCUGACCCAGCCAUGCCGCGUGCAGGAAGACGGCCCUAUGGGUUGUAAACUGCUUUUGUAUGGGACUAACCGUGGAUACGUGUAUUCAUCUGCAUGUACCAUACGAAUAAGCAUCGGCUAACUCCGUGCCAGCAGCCGCGGUAAUACGGAGGAUGCGAGCGUUAUCCGGAAUUAUUGGGUUUAAAGGGUGCGUAGGCUGACAAGUAAGUCAGUGGUGAAAUACCCCCGGCUUA
rnacentral:rRNA from 1 species